UAAAACGUAGGGGACAAGCGUUAUCCGGAUUUACUGGGCGUAAAGCGCCCGUAGGCGGCUUAACAAGUUGGAUGUGAAAGCUCCCGGCUUAACUGGGAGAGGUCAUUCAAAACUGUUAGGCUAGAGGAUGGAAGAGGAGAGCGGAAUUCCCGGUGUAGUGGUGGAAUGCGUAGAGAUCGGGAGGAACACCAGUGGCGAAAGCGGCUCUCUGGUUCACACCUGACGCUGAGGGGCGAAAGCGUGGGGAGCGAACGGGAUUAGAUACCCCGGUAGUCCACGCUGUAAACGAUGGAUACUAGGUGUAGGGGGUCAUUAACCCCCUCUGUGCCGCAGCUAACGCGUUAAGUAUCCCGCCUGGGGAGUACGGCCGCAAGGUUA
rnacentral:rRNA from 1 species